CUUGCUUCUCUCACCUGCCAAUUAGUCUGCCUUCAGGGCCUAAUAACUGACUCCAUAACUGGCACUUUACUCUCAUCCUGCUUUCCAGCCUCCACCCAUUCCCAGCCUUGCUGUGGUCUGCUCUCCUUUUUGCAUACAACUGAAUUUCCCACAAAUAAACCAUCAUACAAGGCAUGAAGAUUUUGAGUAUGAAUUCCUCCUCAAGAAUACCUCACUAGAAAAAAAUCCUGGGAUUGGCUACAGAAUGGAAGUGCUGUUCCUAUAUCGUAACUAACUGGAAGAGGCCUGAGAAGAGAAAUUGAAAAGGAAGCGUUUUUCUGAUUAUGAACCUGCAGUGACCUAGCACAGAUUAUUUCCAGGACUGGUAAAGUUUGUUCUAUGUAAAUGUCUUCCAUUUGGAAAACAGUAAAUAUAAAUAAAUCAUGAAUGUAUAGACUUCCCACAAAA